rnacentral:lncRNA from 1 species
CGGCAGCAGUCAGAAAUGUCUGCUGGAGAAGACACUGCAAAGUGUCAGUGAGGGCGUUUGAGAAUUAAUUUUACCCUAGAGUAGCUGCGCAGGUCUGUUUAGCACUCACCUCUACAGUUUUGAACAUUCGAUAACACCGGAAUCAGUCUGAUGCCUUGAACACUUCACAUGAAGGGUUUUUCAAAAUCUAGCCACAAACAGAUAUGACCAGAUUUCAAAAAAUUUUGAGAAACUAGGAGGAAUCUAUUUUGACAAAGCCAAGCCACACAUAGGAUAGAGUCCCCAUGGAGAACAUGGCCAUCCCUGUGCGAACCUUGCUGGAAUCAGUCCACCCAAGUCUACUACAGCCCUCUGCUAAUCAAAGGAGAGGAGGCAGACAUGCGUGCCCUGGAGAGAAGAAAGUAGAAGGAUCAACUAAAAGAGCUCUCCCACUAAAUGGCUGUGGGCUCCUCUAAGAAACUGAAACAUGGAAGAAGGAAGGACCAGCCAGCCAGAACAGCAGUGGGUAUCAAGGAAUGAUAUAAAAGCAAGCUCAAGACAGUCAAGAUUCAAGGAGCUAUAUACCUUGCUUCCUUUCCAGAGCUGAAAUUUGAGUCAAGAGUCCAUUUCUUCCAACUGGCCAGAGGAUCUCCAGGAUACUCUCAUGUAUGUCAAUAAUAACUUUUCUUUUAUAAUUUUGUCUUUCUCAAUAUUUAACUCACAGUUCAAUGCAUUUCCA